GUGCUCACUCUGGCAGCACAAAUACUAAAACUGGAAUGAUACAGAGGAGAUUCGCAUGGCCCCUGCACAAGGAUGACAUGCAAUUCAUGAAGUGUUCCGUAUUUUU
rnacentral:snRNA from 1 species